GUCAGGAUGGCCGAGCGGUCUAAGGCGCUGCAAUCAGGCUCCGGUUUUGGCGUGGGUUCGAAUCCCACUUCUGAUCA